GGCGUGUAGCGAAGAAGCCAUCGAGGAGAGGCAGGUGUGGCGAGAAGGAACUCGGGUGGAACAGCCGACACGCCACUACGGCGACACGUUGCAGGUCACCGCUCGCUGGUUGAGGACCCGGCGGCAGCCGCUGUGGAGAAGAGGUGGUUCCCAUGGUUCAUCUCUGUUUGUCGUCCCAUGUCUCGUCUCUGUUUGGUGGCGUGACGUCAUACACCGGAAAAUAGUUAAAGACUAAGUGAAAUCUUAUAAAGGGAUCCAGAACCUCUGUACUAAAGUCAAUGACAUAAUUGUACAGCUGUACAAGACAAAUCACUAAAGAGGGAUCCAUAAAAAGAAAAAGACAGGAUCAACAGAGGACGUCGGUCGGUCCACUUAUACAUAAGGUCUUUAUACAAAUUAAACUUGGAUUCUUCUUUUAAUGUAACAAUGUAACACCGUCAGGAUGUCAUUAUAACAUCUCCAAAUUUGGACAAUUAAACAGAUGACUCGUGUAGAUAAUCGCUCAGUUAAAUCUCAUCGUCAUGAUGAAAAUCAACACGUGGACGAUGAUCAUGGUUCCGGUUCACAAGCAAGUGAAAGAGAGUUGGAACUCCGUCUGUGGCUCGAUCGUGAACGGUAGUGUCACUGUGUUGCGCAACGAAGAAGUUGAGGCAACGAGGUAGUGAUCCAGCGGGAGGACUUAUCACGAGCAGAUCCAUCGAGACAUUGUCAGCACGGUGACGUACCGCGUGUUAUCUCGAACUCUCCCUUUGGUACUACCGGCAACCCUCGACGUGGUGCUAGUUGGUUCCCAUACUAACCCAGCGCUCGAUGCACCACAACAGGUAGUCUUAGACGGUACUGUACAUCAACGGUGGUCCUCCUAGCUGCUGUUCGUGUACUCACCGUGGGAAUCAUCAAACAUACAAAACAAUUGUAUUUAACCUAACAUGACCAAGGAUAGUAACGGCACACUAUAUAAAACUGUUAUAUACAACAUAUAAUAGUAAAGGACCUCCUAUAAUAUUUGACGAUCCAACAUAUCUAUGGAUACCUACCGAUGUAUAACUCACUAAAGACAUUGCAUACCGUGAAACCUUUAUAACAGG
rnacentral:rRNA from 1 species